GCCGUCGUAGCACAAUGGUAGUGCGUUGCUUUCCUACGUACCUAAUCCAGGCAGAGGUUGUGGGUUCGAGUCCCACCGUCGGUU